UGCAGUCGACGGAACUGUUUUGAAGAUUUCUUCGGAAUGAAUUUGAUUUAGUUUAGUGGCGGACGGGUGAGUAACGCGUGAGUAACCUGCCUUCAAGAGGGGGAUAACAUUCUGAAAAGAAUGCUAAUACCGCAUGAUAUAUCGGAAUCACAUGAUUUUGAUAUCAAAGAUUUUAUCGCUUGAAGAUGGACUCGCGUCCGAUUAGUUAGUUGGUGAGGUAACGGCUCACCAAGACCGCGAUCGGUAGCCGGACUGAGAGGUUGAACGGCCACAUUGGGACUGAGACACGGCCCAGACUCCUACGGGAGGCAGCAGUGGGGGAUAUUGCGCAAUGGGGGCAACCCUGACGCAGCAACGCCGCGUGAAGGAUGAAGGUUUUCGGAUUGUAAACUUCUUUUAUUAAGGACGAAAAUUGACGGUACUUAAUGAAUAAGCUCCGGCUAACUACGUGCCAGCAGCCGCGGUAAUACGUAGGGAGCAAGCGUUGUCCGGAUUUACUGGGUGUAAAGGGUGCGUAGGCGGCUUUGCAAGUCAGAUGUGAAAUCUAUGGGCUCAACCCAUAAACUGCAUUUGAAACUGUAGAGCUUGAGUGAAGUAGAGGCAGGCGGAAUUCCCCGUGUAGCGGUGAAAUGCGUAGAGAUGGGGAGGAACACCAGUGGCGAAGGCGGCCUGCUGGGCUU
rnacentral:rRNA from 1 species